GACGAACGCUGGCGGCGUGCUUAAAACAUGCAAGUCGAACGGACUUCUCAUGAAGCUUGCAAUUGAGAAGUUAGUGGCGGACGGGUGAGUAACGCGUGGGCAACCUGCCCCUGAGCCCGGGAUAACAGUUCGAAAGGACUGCUAAGACCGGAUAUACUUGCGGGGAAGCAUUUCUCUGUAAGGAAAGGGAACGCUCAGGGAUGGGCCCGCGUCCCAUUAGCUAGUUGGUGAGGUAACGGCCCACCAAGGCGACGAUGGGUAGCCGGCCUGAGAGGGUGAACGGCCACACUGGGACUGAGACACGGCCCAGACUCCUACGGGAGGCAGCAGUUGGGAAUCUUCGGCAAUGGGCGCAAGCCUGACCGAGCAACGCCGCGUGAGUGAUGAAGGUUUUCGGAUUGUAAAGCUCUGUCUUCCGGGACGAUAAUGACGGUACCGGAGGAGGAAGCCACGGCUAACUACGUG
rnacentral:rRNA from 1 species